rnacentral:tRNA from 1 species
GUUUUUUUAGUAUAUAAGUACAAAUGACUUCCAAUCAUUUAGGCCUGGUUAGACCCCAGGAAAAAAUA